AACUUAAAAACUUGAUUGUGAGACACCUGAUUGGUGGUGUUGCUCUUCUAUCAGUCAGGGGCAAAGCAGAUGUACAGUCCUUAGUUCAUCCUAGCUUGAUGCCUGUGUCGGUGGCCAGAGCUGUUUCAUGCCUGAGGCACAUAA
rnacentral:snoRNA from 1 species